rnacentral:lncRNA from 1 species
GGGGUGAAGGAAUGAGACUAGAGAACAUGAAUAGGAUCUGGCCACGGUUCUUUCCGGAUUCAGAUUUUGCAGUCCCCGCUAUAGAAGAAAAUGACCCUAGCACGACACGUCUCUCCAAAAAGGUUGGAGGCUAUUUUUUUUUUUUAAGUUCUCUUUUGUUUAAUGAAUGGGAUGUUUAAAAAUAUAUAAUAUAAUAGUAAUAGUUAUUUAAUUACAUGUACAGCAUCUACGUCGCAAAAAAUGAUGGAAUGCAACAUAACUUGUCGUAAGUCGAAACCAGAGAAAAAAAAAAGAGAGAAAAGAAAUACAUAUUAAUGUUUCCUGUCCAUUUUUAAAAAAAUCACUCAUCCAUCAAAUUAUGUAUUUUUAUAUCCAUUGUAAAUAAAAUUUUUUGCUAUAUUUUUGCAGUUU